rnacentral:rRNA from 1 species
UACGUAGGGACCGAGCGUUGUCCGGAAUUAUUGGGCGUAAAGAGCUCGUAGGCGGUGUGUCGCGUCGGCCGUGAAAACCUGCAGCUUAACUGUGGGCUUGCGGUCGAUACGGGCAUCACUGGAGUUCGGCAGGGGAGACUGGAAUUCCUGGUGUAGCGGUGAAAUGCGUAGAUAUCAAGAGGAACACCUGAGGUGAAGACGGGUUGCUGGGCUGACACUGACGCUGAGGCGCGAAAGCCAGGGGAGCAAACGGG